GAUGAACGCUGGCGGCGUGCCUAAUACAUGCAAGUCGAGCGAACGGACGAGAAGCUUGCUUCUCUGAUGUUAGCGGCGGACGGGUGAGUAACACGUGGAUAACCUACCUAUAAGACUGGGAUAACUUCGGGAAACCGGCGCUAAUACCGGAUAAUAUUUUGAACCGCAUGGUUCAAAAGUGAAAGACGGUCUUUCUGUCACUUAUAGAUGGAUCCGCGCUGCAUUAGCUAGUUGGUAAGGUAACGGCUUACCAAGGCAACGAUGCAUAGCCGACGUGAGAGGGUGAUCGCCCACACGGGAAGUGAGACACGGUCCAGACUCCUAAGGGAGGCAGCAGUAGGGUAUCGUACGCAAUGGGCGAAAGCCUGACGGAGCAACGCCGAGUGAGUGACGAAGGUCUUCGGAUCGUAAAACUCUGUUAUUAGGGAAGAACAUAUGUGUAAGUAACUGUGCACAUCUUGACGGUACCUAAUCAGAAAGCAACGGCUAACUACGUG
rnacentral:rRNA from 1 species